GGGAGAUAAGGUUAAAUUGUUACUCUGGGUACCAUAAGCUGCUUAAGUAUUAAGCCCUAUGGAAUCAUAGGGCACUCAAAACAAAGCUCAAAUUAACUCUAGGAAUUGUAAUUACAUACUUUUUUUGUGAAAAGACUCGAUGGUUGGUUUGAAUUACUAGCUGUGUGGCUUUGGGAAAAUUACUUAAUAUCUUUAGGCUCUAACUUGGACUUGUCUGUCUCAAUUUCCCAGGCAAGUCUGUUCUCAUUUGCCCAUGUAGCAGUGGAGAUCUCAAUGGCAAUCCAGUCUUCAUCCUUCCCUGCUUUGCAAAGAGAACUGAUAUUUAAGAUUCUCAAGGACCGUUCCCUUACUUCCUUUCCUUUGUUCAUGAGCUUGAUGGACAUGAAUUUCGUCAUCGUAGGAAGCAACCUGGCUUUCUUCCUAGCAUCAUCUUUAUUAAUUUUUGUGGGUACACAGUAGGUGUAUAUAUUUAUGGGGUAUAUGAGAUAUUUUGAUACAGGCAUAAGAUGUGUAAUAAUCACAGCAGCGUAAAUGGGGUACCUAGCAUCAUCUUAAUCCAUGUGCUAUAUUGUAUGUAGCACUGUACUAGAUACACACGUGUAUGUAUGUGGGUAUCUAAUCUGUAUUACUCCGAUUGUAUUGGAAAAAAUUAGACUAUUACAGC
rnacentral:lncRNA from 1 species